GACGAACCGUCCAAACGUUAUUCGGAAUUACUGGGCUUAAAGGGUGCGUAGGCGGCGCGGAAAGUUGGGUGUGAAAUCCCUCGGCUCAACCGAGGAACUGCGCCCAAUACUACCGUGCUUGAGGGAGAUAGAGGUGAGCGGAACUUAGGGUGGAGCGGUGAAAUGCGUUGAUAUCCUAAGGAACACCGGUGGCGAAAGCGGCUCACUGGAUCUCUUCUGACGCUGAGGCACGAAAGCUAGGGUAGCGAACGGGAUUAGAUACCCCGGUAGUCCUAGCCGUAAACGAUGAGCACUGGAUUGGAGGGUCCUCCAUAGCCUUCCAGUCGCAACGAAAGCGUUAAGUGCUCCGCCUGGGGAGUAUGGUCGCAAGGCUGAA
rnacentral:rRNA from 1 species